rnacentral:rRNA from 1 species
AGUGACCGAUAGCGUAUAGUACUGUGAAGGAAAGGUGAAAAGGACCCCGGGAGGGGAGUGAAAUAGAACCUGAAACCCUGUGCUUACAAGCACCGAGAGCCCGUCAACGGGUGAUCGGGUACUUUUUGUAGAACGGUCCGGCGAGUAUAUGGAACAAGCAAGGUUAAGGUCUUCAGGACCGCAGCCGAAGGGAAACCAAGUCUUAAUAGGGCGCACAGUUUGUUUCAUAUGACCCGAAACCGGGUGACCUAUCCAUGUCCAGGUUGAAGUGACGGUAAAACGUCAUGGAGGACCGAACCAACCCCCGUUGAAAAGGUGGUGGAUGAGGUGUGGAUAGCGGAGAAAUUCCAAUCGAACUCGGAUAUAGCUGGUUCUCCCCGAAAUAGCUUUAGGGCUAGCGUUGUGUUAGAUUACCGGAGGUAAAGCACUGAAUAGGCUAGGGGGCGAGAGUCUACCGACCCUUAUCAAACUCUGAAUGCCGGAUAAUCGAUGCACAGCAGUCAGACAGUGUGAGAUAAGUUUCAUUGUCAAAAGGGAAACAGCCCAGACCCACAGCUAAGGUCCCAAAUGUACGUUAAGUGGAAAAGGAUGUCCAGUUGCACAAACAACCAGGAUGUUGGCUUAGAAGCAGCCAUACAUUCAAAGAGUGCGUAACAGCUCACUGGUCGAGUGACCGGGCGCCGAAAAUGUAACGGGGCUAAACGUACAACCGAAGCUUGGGCUGCACAGCAAUGUGCGGGGUAGGGGAGCGUUGUGUGCGGGGUGAAGCAUGAGCGGAAGCGCGUGUGGACUGCACAGAAGUGAGAAUGCCGGAAUGAGUAGCGCGAAUUAUGUGAGAAUCAUAAUGGCCGAAAGCCUAAGGUUUCUGGAGGAAGGUUCGUCCGCUCCAGGUUAGCCGGGAGCUAAGGUGAGGCCGAAAGGCGUAGCCGAUGCACAUACGGUGGAGAUUCCGUAGCCAUCAAAGGAUUUAAGCAGAGGGACACAGUAGAAGGGUAUAUGCCGGGCGUUGGUAGCCCCGGUCGAAAGGGACCGAAAUCAGAGUAGGGAAGAUACACUUGGAUACUGGCGAGAAAAGCUCUGUGGAUAUUCGAGAUGCCCGUACCGCAAACCGACACAGGUAGGUAGGAAGAGGAUUCUAAGGCCAACGGGAGAAGGGUUGUUAAGGAACUCGGCAAGUUGACCCCGUAACUUCGGGAGAAGGGGUGCUCUGGAAACAGAGCCGCAGAGAAUAGGUCCAGGCAACUGUUUAGCAAAAACACAGCUCUCUGCUAAAUCGAAAGAUGACGUAUAGGGGGUGACGCCUGCCCGGUGCUGGAAGGUUAAGAGGAGGAGUGAGAGCCCCGAAUCGAAGCCCCAGUAAACGGCGGCCGUAACUAUAACGGUCCUAAGGUAGCGAAAUUCCUUGUCAGGUAAGUUCUGACCCGCACGAAAGGCGUAAUGAUUUGGGCACUGUCUCAACAGCCCGCCCGGCGAAAUUGUAGUACCGGUGAAGAUGCCGGUUACCCGCGACAAGACGGAAAGACCCCAUGGAGCUUUACUGCAGCCUAAUAUUGGAUUUCGGUAUUUCAUGUACAGGAUAGGUGGGAGACGUGGAAACACAGGCGUCAGCUUGUGCGGAGUCAUCCUUGGGAUACCACCCUUGAAGUGCUGGAAUUCUAACCUGUGGCCAUGAAUCUGGUCAGGGGACAUUGUUAGGCGGGCAGUUUGACUGGGGCGGUCGCCUCCAAAAGAGUAACGGAGGCGCUCAAAGGUUUGCUCAGCAUGGCCGGAAACCAUGCCCUAGAGUGUAAACGCAAAAGCAAGCCUAACUGCGAGACCGACGGGUCGAGCAGUAACGAAAGUUGGAGUUAGUGAUCCGGUGGUAUGUGAGUGGAAAUGCCAUCGCUCAACGGAUAAAAGCUACCCUGGGGAUAACAGGCUGAUCUCCCCCAAGAGUCCACAUCGUCGGGGAGGUUUGGCACCUCGAUGUCGGCUCAUCGCAUCCUGGGGCUGUAUUCGGUCCCAAGGGUUUGGCUGUUCGCC